rnacentral:tRNA from 1 species
GGGCCCGUGGCGCAGUUAGGAUGGCGCGCUUGGCUUCGGACCAAGAGGUCGGGGGUUCGAAUCCCUCCGGGCCCG